GCGAGAGCACAGCACAAUGUCCAACGUGGAGCUUAAAGAGUUGCUAAACAGUUGGGGAUUUGGACAUAUAUUUCCACUCUUGUUGUCUGAGGAUAUUACCUUGAAAAGAUUGCGAUUCUUAACCGAAAUCGACUUGACAUUUCUUUUUCGACAUUUGAAAUUAGGCGAAAAAAUUGAAUUUCGAUUUCAUUUAAACGAAUGGAAACGCAAAGAAGGUUAUGCAAGUAGCACCCAAAUUGAAAGGGAUUUAGAUGAUCAUGUUCAUCAUCAUCAUGUUGAGCCCAUACAACCAAGCACUUCUUCCUCGUCAACUUCAAAUAAAAUAAACCAACAUCCAAACUUUUUGAUAUUUUACUCACGCUACGAGACCAUCCGGCUGGCAACUAUGUUAAACGAAUUCUUAAAGAACAAAGUAGCAUGAAUGAUACAUCGAGAAAAAUUCUGAUUGAAGCCAUUGUUACACAUAUGGUUAAAAAUAAAAUAAAGCCUGGCAAACUGAUUUCGAUAGGAUAGCCCAUGAAAUAGAAAGACAAUUCAAAGAUGACAAGAGAAUUUAUUAUAAUUGUAUUGGAUUAAGGCCCAGCGGAAGACUCUAUGAUAAGUAUUACAAUACGCUGAAAAAACUUAAGAAAUACGGUGGAGUUUUUGAUACAUCUUCUUCGGGGAAAGUUGUAGAAAGCACUGAAGAAAAGAUAUCGAAUGAAAAAGCUAUUCAGGCCCAAGAAUGGCUUAAAUCUAAUAACGAACCCUGGUCUGUGGUCGAGGAGAAAUGGCGUUUGUGCUAUAAAUUGCGAAGGGACGAUAUAGUUAACAUGGAUGAUCGAAAACUCUCAAUUCUUGGCUUUUAACUCAAUGGAGUUUAUAUUCCCAUUUUUGGGACAUCUUUUGGUUGAGAUAGAUUUAUAAUGUUAUAUCCCGAAUGCCCGCCAUUAAUGAGUAAAUGGGAUUUAUUCAGGGAGAAAAUAACGCCCAUAUUGAAUGAAAAAUUAACAGAUUCAGUUAAUUUACUUACUUGGAGGAAAUUAACGCAAACACUGAAGGUUCCGAUCAAACUUUGGCAAUGUUACUUCAUGUCCUUCUCGUGUCUAUGCGAAAACCUAAUGUCAAGACCACGGUAAAGGACUCGCACAUUUCAUUUAUGAUUCAAGCUACAUCAUAUUGCAAAGCAGAAAAGCAAUUAGAAAUGCUAAAAACUAAAAUGUACAAUAGUGGCGAGUCUCUGAAACCCAUUGUAGUUGCAAUUGGUGGAAAUUUUGAUUGUACCAAGUUCUAUGUGUAUUUUGAUGAUAUUAAAUAUUCUGCGCCUGACUUCCUCACAGCAUUCGAUAUAAGCUUUAAGAUAUUUCAUGUUUUAAAUCUUAAGUAUCCAGCUGAAAGUUUUGAUUUUUUGAUGUUUAUACAGAAAUAUUUUUAUGACAUUCAUUUGGAAACGGACAAUGUAUCACCUAACAUAUUAUGUUUAAUAGUGAC